rnacentral:rRNA from 1 species
UACGGAGGGGGCAAGCGUUAUCCGGAUUUACUGGGCUUAAAGGGUGCGUAGGCGGGUAAGUAAGUCCGCUGUGAAAUCUCUGAGCUUAACUCAGAAACUGCCGUGGAUACUAUUUGCCUUGAAUAUUGUGGAGGUGAGCGGAAUAUGUCAUGUAGCGGUGAAAUGCUUAGAUAUGACAUAGAACACCAAUUGCGAAGGCAGCUCGCUACGCAAUCAUUGACGCUGAGGCACGAAAGCGUGGGGAUCAAACAGG